rnacentral:lncRNA from 1 species
UUUCUUUCAACUUCAAUUGAUCUUGGUACACUUGCUUUGGAGUCAAUGGCGCUAAAGUUACAUUCUUGCCUCGAUGCUUGAAUGUAUAGCGAUUUGUAUCACCAUCAUAGAUCACGCGCCUAUCAAACUGCCAUGGACGUCCCAAAAGUAGAUGUCCCGCAUGCAUAGGAACUACAUUGCACACCACUUCAUCUUGGUACUUUC